CCCCUACGGGAGGCAGCAGUGAGGAAAAUUGGGCAAUGGCCGAGAGGCUGAACCAGCCAAGUCGCGUGAGGGAAGACGGCCCUACGGGUUGCAAACCUCUUUUGUCGGGGAGCAAAGCGAACAACGUGGGGUUCAUUGAGAGUACCCGAAGAAAAAGCAUCGGCUAACUCCGUGCCAGCAGCCGCGGUAAUACGGAGGAUGCGAGGGUUAUCCGGAUUUAUUGGGUUUAAAGGGGGCGCAGGCGGAGGUGGAAGUCAGCGG
rnacentral:rRNA from 1 species